rnacentral:rRNA from 1 species
UACAGAGGGUGCUAGCGUUGUUCGGAAUCAUUGGGCGUAAAGGGCGUGUAGGCGGUUUGUUAAGUCAUGUGUGAAAUCCCUCGGCUCAACCGGGGAACGACGCAUGAAACUGGCAAGCUAGAGUACCAAAGAGGGGGGUGGAAUUCCCGGUGUAGCGGUGAAAUGCGUAGAUAUCUGGAGGAACACCCGCGGCGAAGGCGGCCCGCUGGGCCAUCCCUGACGCUGAGGCGCGAAGGCCAGGGGAGCGAACGGG